CACUCUCUGUUAGCCCCCCUCACCCGACACUACCUCCCAGCCGCCCCUCACAUUUCUCCCCACCAUUGCCCAUUCUCCUUUGGUCGCCAGCUCCCUCUCCACCUCCUUAGGCCUCCCCUCCCCUUUCACCCCCACCGCCGGCACGCGGUUCCUAGCCCUUGCACUUCGUCGCAUUCUCGUAGAAUCCGGUCACCGAAGUGGCCGAGGAGGCCCUCGAGCUCGGCAUACUCGCGGGCGACACAACGCUAGGCGUCGUCAGAGGGGGACACGGAGGCGCUGGAACUCGCACGCCCCUGCUCUUCCCCGCCCCUUCUUUGAAUCAGGUGGUCGAUGUGCCCGAGGAGGUGCUCGAGCUCGGCAUGACCAUGGGCAACCCAACGCAAGGCACUGUCUCAGGCGAACGUGGAGGCCGACAACAAGGCGCAGGGGUGGGUGCUCAUCCUCACCGCUGACCACAAAUGCCGCGAGAAAAUUUGGGCAUAGAUUGUGGAGGAGCGCUCCAAGCAUGACGCUCUCGUGAUCUCGAUCACAACAGCAAGCAAGCAUGCCAGCUGCCGCCCUACGUCAAGCCAGUCCAGGCCGCAGAAGACUACGGGCCACAACGGCUCGUGCGGAUCCGACCAGCCGCUAGACCCUGCCAUCGAUGGGGAGGCAUGGCUAGGGUGGCUCGAUACAGAACACAAGCUUUUGCGGAACACUGCACAAGCAUAGGUCAAUGCCAAAAGAAAUGAUCACCUCUUACAAGUCCCUGUAACUCACUGAAAAAUCUACGAAAUAUCAUUUUUA